rnacentral:rRNA from 1 species
AGAGUUUGAUCCUGGCUCAGGAUGAAUGCUGGCGGCGUGCCUAACACAUGCAAGUCGAGCGGCAGCGAAGGGUGCUUGCACCCUGUCGGCGAGCGGCGGACGGCUGAGUAACGCGUGGGAAUCUACCCUAAAGUGAGGGAUAACCGCCCGAAAGGGUGGCUAAUACCGCAUAUGAUCUUCGGAUUAAAGGAUUUAUCCGCUUUAGGAAGAGCCCGCGUUAGAUUAGGUAGUUGGUAGGGUAAUGGCCUACCAAGCCAACGAUCUAUAGCUGGUCUGAGAGGAUGAUCAGCCAGACUGGAACUGAGACACGGCCCUUACUCCUACGGGAGGCAGCAGUGGGGAAUAUUGGACAAUGGACCAAGAGUCUGAUCCAGCAAUUCUGUGUGCACGAUGACGUUUUUCGGAAUGUAAAGUGCUUUCAGUUGGGAAGAAAAAAAUGACGGUACCAACAGAAGAAGUGACGGCUAAAUACGUGCCAGCAGCCGCGGUAAUACGUAUUUCACAAAGCGUUAUCCGGAUUUAUUGGGCGUAAAGCGCGUCUAAGGUGGUUAUGUAAGUCUGAUGUGAAAAUGCAGGGCUCAACUCUGUAUUGCGUUGGGAAACUGUGUAACUAGAGUACUGGAGAGGUAAGCGGAACUACAAGUGUAGAGGUGAAAUUCGUAGAUAUUUGUAGGAAUGCCGAUGGGGAAGCCAGCUUACUGGACAGAUACUGACGCUAAAGCGCGAAAGCGUGGGUAGCAAACAGGAUUAGAUACCCUGGUAGUCCACGCCGUAAAACGAUGAUUACUAGGUGUUGGGGGUCGAACCUCAGCGCCCAAGCAAACGCGAUAAGUAAUCCGGCUUGGGGAGUACGUACGCAAGUAUGAAACUCAAAGGAAUUGACGGGGACCCGCACAAGCGGAGGAACAUGUGGUUUAAUUCGAUGAUACGCGAGGAACCUUACCCGGGCUUGAACUGCGGCGGAACGAUUCCGAGAGGAUGAGGCCCUUCGGGGCUGCCGCGGAGGUGCUGCAUGGUUGUCGUCAGCUCGUGCCGUGAGGUGUCGGCUUAAGUGCCAUAACGAGCGCAACCCCCGUCUUCAGUUGCCAUCGGGUUAUGCCGGGCACUCUGGAGAUACUGCCACCGCAAGGUGUGAGGAAGGUGGGGAUGACGUCAAAUCAGCACGGCCCUUACGUCCGGGGCUACACACGUGUUACAAUGGCGCAUACAGAGAGUAGGUGGCAUGCGAAUGCCAUCCAAUCCUUAAAGUGCGUCUCAGUUCGGACUGGGGUCUGCAACCCGACCCCACGAAGCUGGAUUCGCUAGUAAUCGCGCAUCAGCCAUGGCGCGGUGAAUACGUUCCCGGGCCUUGUACACACCGCCCGUCAAGCCAUGAAAGCCGGGGGCGCCUGAAGUCCGUGACCGCGAGGGUCGGCCUAGGGUGAAACCGGUGAUUGGGGCUAAGUCGUAACAAGGUAACC